GUUGUGUGCAAAGAACUAGGGUUUUAGCGGCGACGGUUCCACUUGACAUGAACGCGAGCGACCUUCGCACCGGCCACCUCCACCCAUGCUAUUGAGCCCCACUCUUCGACCCAAACCACCACACUGCCCAGAUUCAGAUCCACCCAGCGCAGCGCCGUUGUGACUACUGGAUCUCACCGUGGUUCUCACCACCGUCAGCAAGCCCACCUCCGAGCUCUCCUACUAGCGGAAGGUGCUUCGCACCACUGAGCAAGUUGGGUAGUGCUCGUUGGCCUCACCGCCGACGAAUGUGUCCUAUCGCGCUUCCUCUACAACGAGUGCAUCAACCACUCCUUUGUCUAUGAGGCACCGCUCCCCGUCUCCAUGUUUGCGCUUAGGCUCAUUGAUAAGGCGCAGGUCCGUACCUCUCCAUGCGCUUCCUAGACUCCCCCUCCCUUCUGUGAUCCCGAUCUCUUCUCUUACGAGCCCGAGGCAGACCGAUAGAGUAAGCAUUAGAAUUUCAAUGGUUUGAAUCGUUGUACGAGUUGAGAUCUGUGCUUCAGUGAGGUUAUUGUUUCUCCAAUCUGCGAUCCGUUUCAGUUAACACAAUAGCCAGAUCUGAGGCUAUUGUUGUACGAGAUGGCAUGGGGCAAUGAGCAAUUGUUGUACGAGUCGAGAUCUGAGGCUUGCACUCAGCACUCUUAACACAAUAGCCAAUACAUUUGUGCAAAUCUUGUUUUAGUUAACCUACUGAAGUUUUUAUUUUUACAAUCAUGAAUCAUCAUACCUACUAAUAUGGCCUCUGGAACCAAGAGCAUAUUCAAUAGAUUUACUGCUCCUUUUUUUGUUAUGCUUGGUGUCCUUGCUCAACUUUGCCUACUAGCCGUGCUUGCAAGGUUGGGCAUGGUCGCAAGGCAUACCUUGCUAGGCAAGGUGAGUCAAAUUGGUUAUUUAAUCUGACCACAUUAUAGGAUGCUGCAAGUGUUGCAGCUCUUCAUCACUUCAUGUAUAUCAACUAAUUAUCUUGUGGCUAGCAAUGCAGGGAGGGGAGUUAAGUUGGUUUACAAAGUCUAUAUGGUCAGUAGGUUCCCAAUUUAAAACAACUAAAGUACAAACUGACAGAUAUGCAAGUCUACAUUUGUUUAACAAUUGUCAAAAAGAUGUUGCUUAGUAACUUCUUCAAUAAUAUGAAUCAAAUAUGCUAUAUAUUAGGGGGUACUGGAUUCAGGAAUUGUCAAAUGUAUUUGGUUUUUUAUAGUUUCUUUCAAACUUUUGCAGCCUAUGUUCAAUGUGAAGUUGGUUAGAGUUUCAGAUUUUAUAAUAUCUCAUUUGUCUUGUUCUUUAGGUUGCAGUCUGUAUCAGACCUCAUGUGUUCAGUUAGUGUUAUUCUGUCACUAGGAUAUGCAUACAAUAUUGUAAUUGAGCAUAGUCUGUUUACUUCAUGUUACUCUGUUCGAUUAAAUAGGGUAGAUGUUACUGUAUUUGAGUUUUUAGAUUAAAAGAUAUAGAAGUUUAGCAUCCUCCAAAGUUAAGGUAGGCAACAUGUCAUUCUAUCUCGCUUUUUAAUAUUGAUCAGCUGUCGAUCCCGCUUUUUAAUAUUGAUCAGCUGGUUUGGGACGUAACAUGUUUGCUGAUAUGUUUAUAUUAUUAGCAUUGGCAGGCUCCUUUUCAGAUUUUUGAACCAUGGUAAAAAUAUACACACACAUUAGUUAGUAUUAUGGACAUGGUAAGAAAGGUUGCAGGUUGUAAAUUAGACGUAUCUAUCAUGAUCCUUCCAUAGUUUACCGUGUAUUAUGUUUUUCUGUAAAGCAUAGAAAUACUUAUUUUUUUAACGCAUAAAAAAUCAAUGACAAAGAUGUAGAGUUUUUAUGAAA